UCGGUCUCCGGGUUCUAGGACAGUCGGCCGCCUUCCUCCCCCAGAUGCUACCGCUACUUUUAGGGGAUUUUUCGUUUCGAAGCCAGUGUGGGAGGGCUGGAGCUAGCUAGGCGGCUAAAAAAAACAUCUGCUGUUGAAUCUGGAAAAGUUUAGGGAGGUGGAGCAGGAAGGGAGAAAGGAGGAGUGUCUCCGGAGCCAGCGGCAACUCCAAAGCUGCUUCGCGGCAGAAAGAUAAACUGUAGCAGCGGACCCGGACGUGGCUCCGCACUGCCAGGCGGGGCUUGCGCUGGCCACGCCUGCGCCGCGGGACCCGAGGGCUGAAAAUGCAGGCUCUAAAAACCGACACACAGCCCCAGACUGAGAGUAUGAUUGUUUGGGAGAAAGAUCACGAAUGUAUAAAGUACCGUUCUCAUCACAUCAUAUCGAGGCUACCUGUGGUCAAAAGGACUUAAUCCCUCUUGAUGUCUACAUUCAUCAAGGAUUAGAUUGCAAGCUUCUCAAAGGAAAGAAGUGAUGAGACCCUUGUCCUUCAAGCCGCUUUCUGACCCGUUUCCUGCAUUAUCUUCCUAAAACACAUCUUUGCUCAAAAAAAAUCCAAAGUGUUGAAGAUUUCAAAAUGUACUUCAUUACUACUCUUCCCUAAGAAUUAUGAAAGUUAUCAUCGUGCUGUGUGUGUUGGUGAAUUUGGAUGGAUUUUUAGAUCUUAAAGCGCUCCUGACUGGUGUGAGGUGAUACCGCACUGUGGUUCUGACUGGCAUUCCCCUGACGCUGAGUGAUGCUGAGCACUAGAUACAGCAUUCUACAGCCAGAGCGAUGAACAAAAAUGGGCAUGAAAAUCCAUCAGGAUGAGAGAACAUGGAAACUUUUGUAUAGAUGUUUUUCUCCAAGUAAGAUCAAAUUUAAGUGUAAAUAAGCCAUGUUAUCCUUCUACCUUCUCUGAACAAAAAGCAAACACUGAUGAAUGGGAAGACUGACUAUUAAGGACUGUUAUUUUUAUAAGUAUCUGAGGGGAGAUUAGUAGAAAAGUGAAAAUUGGCUUAAAUAUAUGAAUGGUAAAAUAAUAUAGAAUUUAACAAUCUGGAAGAAGCACUUUGGGGAAGAUAUAAACUUAAUAACUAAAUAGAUGAGGCUUAAAAAUGGACAUUGAGGACACGUGAUGUAAUGGUGUAAUAAGACUGAUGAAUCACUGAACUCUAUCUCUGAAACUAAUAAUACAUUAUAUGUUAAUUGAAUUUAAAUAAAAAAUAGAAAAUAAAAAAAUAAGAAAUGUAUAAAAACCUAUACUUUUCUAUUUAAAAAAAGACGUGUUAUGUUAAUGUGCUUCAUGUCAUGUAUUUCACAUCAUUUAAAAAGGAUUUUUAGCUCCUUUAUAAAUGAGGAGCUUUACUGUGUAGGGAAUACUGGCUGGGCUUAUACUUCAAUGCAGAGGAAGCGAUAAAAGUAUGCACUGGUUUCCUACAGCUAGUAACCAAAACAAUAAGUGUAAAUUUUGACUCUGUUUAAGAGAAAAAUAUGAGAUUGGAUGGAAUGAGCUUCUCCAGAUC